rnacentral:tRNA from 1 species
GGGCCGGUAGUUAAACCUGGUAAAUGAUUAAGUAAAUCAUCCAGAUUAAUGCGCCCUUGGCUUGGGUGGCUAAAGCUCAUUAGGCUCCGGGUUCAAAUCCCGGCCGGUCCA